AGGCGAGCAGGCGUUGAUGGGGGGGGGGGAAGAAGUAGAUAAAGGAGGUUAGGACUGAGACGCAGGGUGUGGGAGGGGACGGAGGGUAGCACAGAUCUGGUGCGGGCACAGAGGGGAUAGGGAGCAGGCAGAGGUGGUGAAAAGUGGUUGCUGGGAGACUCUGGAACCAGUGGGGCGUGGUUGCAGAGCAGGGGUGGAGUUGGUCAGGCCUGGGUGUGAGAUGGCAGAUCAGAUCAGGAGUGGGUACAAGACGGAGGAGCAGAUCUCGGGUGGGGAAAAGAAGAUGGUGGAGCAGCCUUGGGCAGGAUGACAGUGGAUUGAUCAAGGAGGAGGUUGGGUAGAUGGUGAAACAGAUCAGUAGGGAGUAUGAGAAUGGAGGAGGAAAGAAGGAUCUACUCUUAGAGGCUACUUUGGCUGGUCUCCAGUCCUGCUCUACUCUGCUCCGCAACACAGAUGCUGCAGCAGAAAUAUUUCCCCAGUUCCUGAUGCCUUCUUCAGUGAUAAUCAAAUCCUGUCACCAACACAGGGGACCCAUUAUGAACUGGAUGAUGUUGGUCCAUACCUGAAGACCCUGCUAGGGGAAGCAGCCUUUCAGCAUUCCUUUGAAGCCCUAGUGGACAGGGACGGGAUGGGGAGAGGAAACAGUAAAAGUAGGAGUGGUACUUCCCUUUCAGGUGGUAGUGUCUGCACUGUCCUAUCCUUAAUACCCUAUCAGCCCAGUUCCAGAAUGUUUGUCUGAAUGCGGGCUCAGGUUCACGUAACAAAUGUACAGAACUCUGGGCUUUUGAAUUGGCUUUAGUUUCUUUAUGAACCAUUCUCACACACUUCCAGUAGCAACAGCUCAGUUUAUAUUUAUAGCAGUUAGACCAAUCUAGCAUAUUUUUCAGUUUGUUUAAUAGUUCAUCAAUAUCUCAGAUUAGUAUGAAUGUAGUCUUAUUGUAUAGCUGAAGCAGAACUAAUUUUGCUUUUUAUUAACUCAGGUUUUCCUCUUCCUGUUUUUGCCACAAUUCAGAGGAAAUGGUUCUGGUGUGUGUGUGUGUGUGUCUUGUACAGAAGGUUUGUCCUGCAUCAGCAAGUCUAAAUUGCAUCCAUCCAGAUAUACAAUGGCCAAAUCCAGCAAUCUAGUUGAAUCCCCUUUUACAUACUGCUGCAAACCAUGUGACAGUAGCUACAAUAGCAAAACAUUACACUUCAAAUAACAUUCAGGGUUUUUCAAAAUUUCCAUUAAAAAAAGUCUUGUGCUAAAUUUUAAGGGCAAAAUUAUGUAGUAACGGAUUAUGCAAAUGACUGGUUAGCAGUUCCUGUUUUUGUUAACAAAUGUGACCACUGAUGUGGUAGAAUCUAUUUUCUGAGUUAAAAACAUUUUGGAUACUAUAGUGCUGGGGACACAAAGACAGCAUAGACAGAAAAUCAUGUAGUGAACCUAAAACCAAAUAUAGCACACAACUUGCUAAUGUAAAAGAUAAUUGUCCGCAGGUGAAAUUUACCUGCUUUAGUUUUAGGUUAUAUUUCAGGCCUGACAAGCAGAUUCUUAAUUGGUAUAAAUUGUCAUAAGUUUAAUGACUU
rnacentral:lncRNA from 1 species